rnacentral:rRNA from 1 species
UACAGAGGUCUCAAGCGUUGUUCGGAUUCAUUGGGGCGUAAAGGGUGCGUAGGCGGCGCGGUAAGUCGGGUGUGAAAUCUCGGAGCUUAACUCCGAAACUGCAUUCGAUACUGCCGUGCUUGAGGACUGGAGAGGAGACUGGAAUUUACGGUGUAGCGGUGAAAUGCGUAGAUAUCGUAAGGAAGACCAGUGGCGAAGGCGGGUCUCUGGACAGUUCCUGGACGCUGAGGCACGAAGGUCAGGGGAGCAAACGGG